rfam:Branchiostoma floridae genomic scaffold BRAFLscaffold_4, whole genome shotgun sequence.
ACACCGGCCCUUUUAAGGGCCACCCCCACUUAUUCCAGAAAGAACG